rnacentral:rRNA from 2 species
UGAUUUUGGAUCCGACUGAGUGGCGAACUGGUGAGUAACACGUGGGUAACCUGCCCAGAAGAAGGGGAUAACACCUGGAAACAGAUGCUAAUACCGUAUAACAACAAGAACCACAUGGUUCUUGUUUGAAAGCUGGCCUUUGUGCUAGUGCUUCUGGAUGGACCCGCGGCGUAUUAGCUAGUUGGUGAGAUAAUAGCUCACCAAGGCAAUGAUACGUAGCAGACCUGAGAGGGUAAUCUGCCACAAUGGGACUGAGACACGGCCCAUACUCCUACGGGAGGCAGCAGUAGGGAAUCUUCCACAAUGGACGAAAGUCUGAUGGAGCAACGCCGCGUGAGUGAAGAAGGGUUUCGGCUCGUAAAACUCUGUUGUUAGAGAAGAACAGCCGUGAGAGCAACUGCUCACGGUAUGACGGUAUCUAACCAGAAAGUCACGGCUAACUACGUGCCAGCAGCCGCGGUAAUACGUAGGUGGCAAACGUUGUCCGGAUUUAUUGGGCGUAAAGGGAGCGCAGGCGGUUUAUUAAGUCUGAUGUGAAAGCCUUCGGCUUAACCGGAGAAGUGCAUCGGAAACUGAUAAACUUGAGUGCAGAAAAGGAUAGUGGAACUUCAUGUGUAGCGGUGAAAUGCGUAGAUAUAUGAAGGAACACCAGUGGCGAAGGCGGCUAUCUGGUCUGUAACUGACGCUGAGGCUCGAAAGCAUGGGUAGCAAACAGGAUUAGAUACCCUGGUAGUCCAUGCCGUAAACGAUGAAUGCUAGGUGUUGGAAGGUUUCCGCCUUUCAGUGCCGCAGCUAACGCAUUAAGCAUUCCGCCUGGGGAGUACGACCGCAAGGUUGAAACUCAAGGAAUUGACGGGGACCCGCACAAGCGGUGGAGCAUGUGGUUUAAUUCGAUGCUACGCGAAGAACCUACCAGGACUUGACAUCUUCU